GAGCGGGGUAGAGGCGCGGCAUAGCAUGAGUACCGCCUUGGAGCCUGGGAAGCGAGGAAGGGACGGGAAAGGGCUGGCCGCCGAAGCAGCAGGGUUUCCCGGGCCCUGCUGCUGGGCUGGUGCUGAAAAAGUAUCAGACUGUCACUACCUGGAGAGGUAGUGGAGCGCUCCUCGCACG
rnacentral:ncRNA from 2 species